GAGAGGCGCAAUGAAAUAUGCCUUGAAUGAAUGAAUGAUCAAGAAAGCGGAAAAUUUGAGCAAUAUUCUUUUCUCAAAAACAAUAUCCCGCUACGUGGGCCACGAUCUUUGCGCCUCGCCUUUGUUUUUGGAGUUUUAAGACCGCUUAUUUCAGUUCCAUAAUACUCCUAAAAUCAAAGCUCUAGAUCCUAAUGGAUAGUCCGGAGGACGGAGGACGGGUCAAAGAUUCUUAAUCAAUUGAUUAGACAACAGGUCCGAAGGCUAGGCGCAAAGUUCGGUUAAUUACGGAAAGUCCGGAGGACUACUUCGGUUAAUUACGGAUGGUCCUACUUCCAUAUGGAUAGUCCUACUUCGGUUAAUUACGGAUGGUCCUACGGAUAAAUCCUCCGGACUCCGGAUAAGAAUCCUGCGGACUCCGGACCCUGGACCUUUCUUUGGCCCUGCGGACGUAGGACUCCGGACUACGGAUAAAUCCUGCGGACGUAGGACGUAGGACAGGUGACGGGGGAUUGAGAAAAGCAAAGAAUUUGCGAAAUAAGCGGUUCAAUUCCCACUACGCGGGAGGUUCAAAGAAUAUUGAACUUGAUUUUGUAGGUUUAGAAGUUGAAGUUCUCAAACUCAAUGAACUAUAAAGAAAGCACUGAUAAUGGAUAGUCCUCCGUUUUAGAGUCCUACGGAUAAAUCCUCCGGACUGGAUCUUGUAAGGAAGAAGGCUCAAAGAGAGUAUCCAACAACUAAAUUCCAUAAAGAAAAAGCAGGAACAUGAAAGAGAAGUCCUAGUGAAGUUUGAGUGGAUAAAAUCAGUUCUCAAAUUUCAUUGAUCCUUCGCUCAAUGCCCACGGAGCGGGAGGCUAAAAUCAAGGCUUUUAGUGGAAGGCAACUCAUAUUACAUUGAGCCUGCAACUUCGGAUAUUGAUGGCGCAAAGAAUUUGCGAAAGAAGGCGCUUCUAAUGGAUAGUCCGGAGGACGGGGGAUUUGAGGCGCCAUAAGACAGGUCCGGAGGAUUUAUCCGUAGGACUCUAAAACGGAGGACCCAGAGAAAGAAUAUUGCGGAGAAGAAUAAGGUUCAAAGAAUAUUUCACUCAAUGAACAAGGCGCAAAGAAUAUUGCGUGAUCGAAGCGAAGGUUCAGCUUCAUUCCUAGGGCAUGUCCGGAGGCGCCAUAAGACAGGUCCGAAGGACUAUUAGGGAAUGAGAGGUUAAGCUUGAUAAAGUCCUCCGCCUAAUUCAAUGGAUAAAGAAGUCACCUGGCCCCUUGUUUUUAGUUCUUUGCGCCUUUCAGUUCUCUCAAAUUUCAUUGAUCCUCCGUAUUCCAAAAAAAAAGAAAGAAGAUUUCUACUCAAUUCAAUUUGCAAAAUCAAGCUCCUUCUCAAUCAGUCCUAUCCAUUUUUUCUGUAAGGAGAGGCGGAGGAGGCGCAAAGAAUAUUGCGUAAAGGCUCGACUAAGAAGGAGAGGAGCGCUCCGUCGUCGGUCGUCCAAAAUAUAUAUGUAGAAUCGUCAGAUGGACAUUCUUUCUUUUCUGGAACCUCCGCUAGGCGCAAAGAAUUUGCGAAAUAAGCGCGGAAGGCGCAAAGCAUAUUGCGUGAGAAAUCCCGUCCUCAG
rnacentral:lncRNA from 1 species